rnacentral:rRNA from 1 species
AAAAUUUUGGUCCUGGACUUACUGUUAUUUAUUCUAAGCUUAUACAUGCAAGCCUCCGCAUCCCAGUGAGACGCACACAGGUAUCAGGGAUUUCCCAAAAACGCCAAGCCACGCCACAUCCACACGGACUAGCAGCAGUAACCAACAUUAGGCAAUAAGCUGUACGCUUGACCAAGCUACCGAAACCAGGGUCGGCAAACUUAUGUGCCAGCCGCCGCGGUCAUACUGAAGACCCAAAAUAACUAAACCGGCAAAAAUGGUUAAAACAAAGCCAGACAAUUAAGAUCUAAUCGCACACUAAUACGUGAAACAAUAACUGCGAGAAAACCAAAAAUCUUAACUUACGGAUGUUUGACCCAAAUAAUAUAGGAAACAAACUAGGAUUAGAUACCCUACUAUGCCUACCAUAAAUUUGCUCGCCAAAAAAGUAUAAGCAUAGAGCUGAAAACUUUAAGGACCUGGCGGUACUCAAUACCAACCUAGAGGGGCCUGUCCAAUAAUCGAUAAUCCACGAAAAACCUAACCCCUUCUAGCCAUAUACAGUCUAUAUACCGCCGUCGAAAGCACAUCUUACAAGAGAUGCAGCAAAAAGUUCUACCACAAGCACGUCAGGUCAAGGUGUAGCACAUGAAGGGGGUGAGAUUGGCCACACUACCAUACCAAAAAUAAACAUGAAAACACUAACAAGAAUUUAGUAGUAAGUUGGAUAAUGAGUAUCCACCUGAAUUCGCUAUAGCUCUAGAGUACGCACACACCGCCCGUCAUCCUCCUUAAUACAUAUAGGGGGCAAGUCGUAACAAGGUAAGUGCACCGGAAGGUGUACUUAGAAGAC